UCCUACGGGACGCAGCAGUGGGGAAUAUUGCACAAUGGGGGAAACCCUGAUGCAGCAACGCCGCGUGAGUGAAGAAGUAUUUCGGUAUGUAAAGCUCUAUCAGCAGGGAAGAAGAUGACGGUACCUGAUUAAGAAGCCCCGGCUAACUACGUGCCAGCAGCCGCGGUAAUACGUAGGGGGCAAGCGUUAUCCGGAUUUAUUGGGUUUAAAGGGUGCGUAGGCGGACUGUUAAGUCAGCGGUAAAAGCCCGGGGCUCAACCCCGGCGAGCCGUUGAAACUGGCUGUCUUGAGAUGUCGAGAGGUAG
rnacentral:rRNA from 1 species